rnacentral:rRNA from 1 species
UACGGAGGAUGCGAGCGUUAUCCGGAUUUAUUGGGUUUAAAGGGAGCGCAGGCUGCGAGGCAAGUCAGCGGUCAAAUGUCGGGGCUCAACCCCGGCCUGCCGUUGAAACUGUCCUGCUAGAGUUCGAGUGAGGUAUGUGGAAUGCGUUGUGUAGCGGUGAAAUGCAUAGAUAUGACGCAGAACUCCGAUUGCGAAGGCAGCAUACCAACUCGCGACUGACGCUGAGGCUCGAAAGCGUGGGUAUCGAACAGG